UACAGAGGGUGCGAGCGUUAAUCGGAAUUACUGGGCGUAAAGCGCGCGUAGGCGGCUUUGCAAGUCGGGUGUGAAAUCCCCAGGCUUAACCUGGGAACUGCAUUCGAGACUGCAUUGCUAGAGUAUGGGAGAGGGCAGUGGAAUUCCCGGUGUAGCGGUGAAAUGCGUAGAUAUCGGGAGGAACAUCAGUGGCGAAGGCGGCUGCCUGGCCCAAUACUGACACUCAGGUGCGACAGCGUGGGGAGCAAACAGG
rnacentral:rRNA from 1 species